rnacentral:rRNA from 1 species
AAACCUGAGAAACCCGAAAGAUCGAACGGGGAGAUUCAUCGUCAGCGAUUCUGGCACUUGUGCGGUUCGCGAUACCACUGGGCUUCUGUCUUGUGGCACGCGUCCGUAUGAUUUUUAUUGCCGGUAUCGUCGGCGUGCACUUCUCCCCUGGUAGGACGUCGCGACCCGUUGGGUGUCGGUCUACGGCCCGGGUGGGAGCCUGUCUCGUGUGCGCUUCGCGGCGAUGCGGGUCAGACCCCCGGCUGCCCGACCCUGCUGCCCGGCGGUGUAUUUACGGUAUCUAGUCGCAAGUAUUUAAACUGCGUCCGGCCCGUUGCAAGCGAGGCAAGUGUUUUCCCGGAUGUUCGGAUCUAAUGCCGUCACCGGGCCUUGCCAGCUGUUGGUUGACGGUGUCCUAGGACUGACUAUUGGAUACCGGUCGGCGAUGCUACUGCUUUGGGUACUUUCAGGACCCGUCUUGAAACACGGACCAAGGAGUCUAACAUGUGCGCGAGUCAUUGGGAACUGUAAGCCUAAAGGCGCAAUGAAAGUGAAGAUGGGCCUUGCGCCAAUCGAGGGAGGAUGGGUUGCGUCACAAUGCUUCCUCGCACUCCCGGGGUGUCUCGUUCUCAU